rnacentral:rRNA from 1 species
GACGAACGCUGGCGGCGUGCUUAACACAUGCAAGUCGAACGGGUCUGCCCUGUUUUUUGCGGGGUGGGUCAGUGGCGAACGGGUGAGUAACACGUGAGUAACCUGCCCCUCACCUCUGGAUAACCGCUUGAAAGGGUGGCUAAUACGGGGUGUUCUGGCUGUGCCGCAUGGUGUGGCUGGGAAAGAUUCACUUUUGUGGUGUUUUGGUGGGGGAUGGGCUCGCGGCCUAUCAGCUUGUUGGUGGGGUGAUGGCCUGCCAAGGCUUUGACGGGUAGCCGGCCUGAGAGGGUGGGCGGUCACACUGGGACUGAGCUACGGCCAAGACUCCUGCGGGAGGCAGCAGUAGGUGGUAUUGCACAAUGGGCGGAAGCCUGAUGCAGCGCCGUCGCGUGAGGGAUGGAGGCCUUCGGGUUGUGAACCUCUUUCGCCGGUGAAGAAGGUCCUGCUCUUUGUGGUGGGGUUGACGGUAGCCGGGUUAUGAAGCGCCGGCUAACUACGUG